rnacentral:rRNA from 1 species
UACGUAGGGUGCAAGCGUUGUCCGGAAUUAUUGGGCGUAAAGAGCUCGUAGGCGGUUUGUCGCGUCUGCUGUGAAAACUCGGGGCUUAACCCCGGGCCUGCAGUGGGUACGGGCAGACUAGAGUGCGGUAGGGGAGACUGGAAUUCCUGGUGUAGCGGUGAAAUGCGCAGAUAUCAGGAGGAACACCGGUGGCGAAGGCGGCUCACUGGCUCAUUACUGACGCUCAGGCGCGAUAGCGUGGGGAUCAAACAGG